CACUCAAGGACUUGACAUUAAUUAUUUUCUCUUUUGCUAUGUUAGUUCUUGUUUCUAUAACAGAGAAAAUGUCACUCCUAGGAAUUAAAUGAACAAAGCAGCCCAAAUUUUAUAAUAAAACAUUUGUGAAAAUACGCCUCUAUUUUUGUUUUUGGAAGAUGUACAGUAUCCCACCGAAUACAGGGUUAGAGAUUUAACAGAGGAAAAUAACAGAGCAAUUAAGGCAGUGUGCUUUUCAUCUGCUGAACACGGACCAUUUUAAGGAGAACUAAUUGGGUGGAAAUGUAUCGAUGUAUUGAUGGGUUUAAAUGGACAGUUCUAAGUUCUACAUCGCAUUCCCGGGAGAGUACAUUCUUUACACACCUUCCUGAAAUGACAGUUUCAAGUCAUUUGCAGAGUCAGGAAAACCACGUGCUGUGUUAGGGCUGUGACUCAGAUACCGGGGAUGUUAAAAUCUAGAUCCUCAUUUACUGUACAACUAUAAUUCUUAGUAUGCUUUUCUAGUCUUGAAAGGCUGUGAUGCCGUAGCUGGGGAACUAGGGUUUUGCCAUUCAAAGUGAAAUUCAAAUCUAAUGGCAAAAUAGCCAAACGCAGCUUUGCUUUUAGUUUAAGCGGUUUUAAAUUAAAUUAAAAUUCACUUUGAAUUCAGUUUAAAUUCUCACCUUAGUGACUAACCCUGUAAGGCUAGUGACAUAUCAAAGGCGUAAUAUCAUUGUUUGAAGGACUUGUUUUGUUUUAGAAACAUAGACACAAAUUGAAUUAAAUAAAAAUAAGUUGUACAUAACGUUUGCAGGCGAUUGCGUGGGGGUCCUGCAACACAUUGCUCUGACCAUGUGGGGGAGAAAUGCAUUGAGCUGAUCUGCUAAUCAACAACAACUCAUUAACUAACAAGUAUACUUGUGCAGAAAUAUGUUUCAACAUCAAAUUCCUCUUAAUCUAUCCUCAGGAAAAGCCCAGAUUAAUCGAUUAGUUGAGACAUAGCUUAACAUGAAUUUUAAUGUGUCUGAAUGCAGCUGAAACUAGUUUGUGCACAAGUAUACUGACUAAUCAGUUGCAUUUUAUAAUUAAGUAUGUGCUUCAGGUUUCACAUAUUGUACCAAACCACCUUAAAUACUAUGCCUUAUCCAUAUUGUCCCUGUCUACCGGCUAAUGAGAAAUUCUUCUCCCCCAUCUGCAAGAUAAUAAUUCAUUUUCCCAAAUUAAACUGGCACCAAUAUACUGUGAUAACGGACAAAAUAGUAACGUGCUAAAUUGUGAACACAAUGGAAUGUCACCCCAAGGAAAAAAAGAAAACAGAGGUAUAUGUGUCAAUAUAGAUAACAAUUAACAUAGGUCCACUACUGAAUUCCAUUGUGACCAACAAACAAAUGUACUACAUUCAUUGGACAGAGAUUGCAAUGAAGAUCGUUAUUCUAGUGUUGGUUUGGGUGACAAUCACGCACAGAAGGACAUUUUGUGAAAAGUGUAACGAGGAGUAAGGGACAUUAAAUGAAUACACAAACGGGUGCAGGGAGGGAAAUGGGAUGUACUCAUUCUAAAAUUAUAUAUAUAUAUAAAAUGUCAUAUUUCACCUCUGUAUUGGGUAAACUAAACACUGUAUAUCAAUGUAGGCAGUUGUUGAGCUGGGCCAAUGGGUGUAAAAACCAAUAAGUGAAUGGGCCCAAACCAUAUCUGCACAAAAAUGAACUUUCUUAUUCCUACUUAAAGUAUAAACUAUCCUUAUUAAUUUUAUUAUUGUUAUUAUAUUUUUUAUAUAGCGCCAUCAGAUUCCGUAGCGCUGUACAAUGGGAUCACUUUGGGAAGGUGGGAUUUGUGAUUGCUACAUUUUGUUGAUCCUAUAUUAUACAUUUUUUAAUUACAGUUUCCUUUUAUCUUUUUUAAUUACUACUGAAUAUAUAUAUAUAUAUAUAUUGCUACCAGUAUAUUAGUGUUAUAAAGAACAUGCACCUAAAUAGAUACAUUAUAGAGCUAAUACAGCGCUGGGUUUAAAACCCCAUUCACAAUGAAAUAUUCUAACUGUUCUCAAAUGUGCUGUUAUCCUAAUUAGCAGCCAAUAGUAACAUCACAAUUACCCAGGGUAGCCAUAGAUACCAGAGAUUGUCUGCUUUCUGAUCCAGUCAAUAUACUGAAUUAUCACAAACAAUGAGUAUCACAUUGUUUUUUCAUGCAGAGAUCCGGCUGCACACAUUAUGUACAUGAUUUAUUUGCAUAUAAUAAUUGAAUGCUCCGGGCUUCCUCACCUCUGCACCUGCCGUGUUCAGAAAUAUAUUUUCCAUUUGCACUGUGUUUUCCGGUGCUUAUAAUAUUAAAGACAGCUCGGUAACUAUAUCUGUAUUCAAAUACAUCUGUCUUAAUGAACUGCAUCAUAUUUUUUUUAAAGCGUAUCUAUCAUAUCUGAAAUUGAAGUGUUCUUGAAUUCAGCACUGAGAAGUAGCUGUUUCUCCUGUAAUUACGUUUUUAGAUUGCAAAAUUCAAAAAUGCUCUUCUUUAGCCCCUCUCAUAUUUUAAUUAGAAAACAUUUAAAAACAAGUGAAGCAUUACAUUACAUUUAUUUGUAACAUGGGGUGUACAGCUAGCACACAAAAAAAGAAAAUGUGUGACAAGAUUGCAAUAUAUAUAUAUAUAUUAUAUUAAUUUGUGUUCAUCCAGGGAAAGAAAUAUUGUCAUGGAAGGUACAAAUUAUCAGAGAUUACAUAAUCUUUAACAACAUAGAUAGCUAAAAAGCGAUAGCUUAGAAGGGCAAAUCUGAAUUUGUCAGGGUAUUUGUAAAGAAUCUGCUGGUAUUUGCGAGAUUGCAGAUUCCUGAAAGCAAGUAGAAUGUAAUAACUUUGUAUGUAUGUUGGCAUAACACCACAUAGAGCCAGCACAUUGUCUGGAUAAAACAAGGCAACUCUUUCCCCAGGGUAAUGAAGGCUACUAGUCCCGCUUGUCCAUAUGCCCAGCAUGUCAGAGUCAGAUUAAUAUAGGGGCUAUUAAAGAUCCAGGCUCAUGCAUUGCAAUAGGACCCAGCUGCCGGGUGUUUUUUGUGAUCUGCUAAAGCCUGAAACGGCCAGGGAGGCAGACACAUCUUCACUAGUCUUACUGAGCAUCAGGAAACAUCGUCCAAAAUAUCUAAAGUGCCAAAGAUAGCUUGGGCACUGUAUAAACUAGUCUGUAUCUAAUCAGUGCCUUGAUAACCAACAAGAGGGGACCAAAAUGUGUCCUGAGUCUAUUGUACAUGCUCUUUUCCAUUCUGAUUGUACACAGACCUUUUGCGCCCCAUGACACAUAGGAUGAAUUCCCUGUGACCCUUAGGAUAGAUUGUGACCCUUUGCAUUCCUUGCUUCCCUAACUUAUUUCUGUGUGGUUAACCUGUUGAUGUCCAUGUUGAUGGAUUUUAUGUGCCCGAAGUUUUCAGUUCAUAAAUGCAUGGAUGCCUUUAUAUAUGACUGCAAGGUCUAGUUGCAGAUGGGUGGCAGAUGCAUCCAGCACUACAGCACAUCAAACAUUUUAUACUUCAGUACAGUGUGUGUAUGUCGGGUUCAUUUACAGCACACUAACUCAAUGGGGUCUUACUCUAGCCCUGAUGGAGAAAUGUGUAUCGGUGCUGGUGUCAGUGUGUGUAUCUAUAUCUGUGUGUGUGUAUCUGUUUUUUUAGUGUGUGUAUCUGUGUGUAUGUCCCAGUGUGUAUUUGUGUGUCUGUGUAUGAGUAUCUGUGAUUGUUUAUGUGUCAGUGUGUGUAUCUAUUUCAAUGUGUAUCUGUGUGUCAGUGUUUGUAUCAGUGUGUUUAUCUGUGUGCAUGUGUCAGUGUGUGUAUCAGUGUGUGCAUCUAUGUGUCUGUGUGUGUAUCUGUCAAUGUGUUUGUGUGUGUGCCAGUUUGCAUAUAAGUCUCUGUUUGUGAGUAUCUGUGUGUCUGUGUGUAUGUAAGUGUAUAUGUCAGUGUGUGUAUCCGUGUCUCAGUAUGUGAAUAUCUGUGUGUCAGUGCAUGUGUAUGUGUCAGUGUGUUUAUCUAUCUGUGUGCAUGUGUCAGUGUGUGUGUGUGUGUGUGUAUAUGUGUGUCAGUGUACGUAUUAGUUGUGUAUGUGUCAGAAGGUCUGAGGGUCUGAGUGUGUAGUGAUGGGUUUAACACAAUAUGCUGUAACUGAAUCCCCAUAUUUGUUUGAUAAGAUGAGUGAUUUUAAGUAGCCUUGUACAAUUUAAACCUGUAUUUAUCUGUUUGUGUGUUCGCUGUUCCUUUAGCUUUACUUUGUAUAGAUUUUGGUCUUUAUAGCAGUACCACUUCUUAGAAAUGCAUGUUCUGUGCCCCCAAUCCCCACUUUUUCUGUGUAGACUUGGAAUCCAGACAAUAUUCUUAUUGGGCUGAGCACCCCACCAAUCCAUUGUAGGUGCCCCUGCAGUUUAAACUGCAAGUGAGUAUUGCAGGUUAGCAUGUAAAUCUCCCAUGUUGAAACUAGUGUAGGACCUACCCAUAUUGGGGUACUGUGACAUAGUGGUGGGUUUAACACACUAUGGUGUAACUGAAUCCCCAUAUUUGUUUGCUAAGAUAUGUGAUUUUGUGUGUAUGUGUCAGUGUGUGUAUCUGUGUGCAUCAAGGUGUGUAUGUGUCAGUGUAUAUGUCAGAGUGUGUAUCUGUGUUAGUGUGUGUAUCAGUGUGUGUACAUAUCUCUGCGUGUGUUUUAGUGUGUAUCUGUGUGCAUCAGUGUGUGUAUGUGUCAGUUUGUGUAUGUGUCAGUGUGUGUAUCUGUGUUAGUUUGUGUAUCAGUGUGUGUAUGUGUCUGUGUGUCAGUGUGUAUAUCUGUCUGUCAGUGUGUGUAUAUGUCUGCAUCAGUGUGUAUGUGUCAGUGUGUGUAUCAGUCUGUGUAUGUGUCUGUGUGUGUGUCAGUGUGUGCUUCUGUGUGUCAGUGUGUAUAUCUGUCUGUCAGUGUGUGUAUAUGUCUGCAUCAGUGUGUAUGUGUCAGUGUGUGUAUCAGUCUGUGUAUGUGCCUGUGUGUGUGUGUCAGUGUGUGCUUCUGUAUGUCAGUGUGUGUAUGUGUGUAUCAGUGUAUGUAUCUGUGUGUGUUUGUCACUGUGUAUAUCUAUGUGUUAUUGUAUGUAUAUGUGUCUAUCUGAGUGCGUGUAUUUGUCAGAAUGUAUCUAAGGGUGUGUAUGUUUCAAAGUGUAACUGUGUGUGUCAAUGAGUAUAUGUAUAUGUGUAUGUAUGUGGCAGUUUUAGUACAUACAAACCAGCAAUCAAAUGCAUCUGUCUGUGUCAGUGUGUGUAUGUGUCAGUGUGUGUAUCUGUGUUAGUGUGUGUAUCAGUCUGUGAAUGUGUAUGUGUGUGUGUGUCAGUGUGUGUUUCUGUAUGUCUGUGUGUGUGUCAGUGUGUGUAUCUGUGUGCAUCAGUGUCAGUGUGUAUCUGUGUGUGUCAGUGUAUGUAUCUGUGUGUGUUUGUCAGUGUGUAUAUCUAUGUGUUAUUGUAUGUAUAUGUGUUUAUCUGAGUGUGUAUUUGUCAGAAUGUAUCUAAGGGUGUGUAUGUUUCAAAGUGUAACUGUGUGUGUGUCAAUGAGUAUAAGUAUAUGUGUAUGUAUGUGGCAGUUUUUGUGCAUACAAACCAGCAAUCAAACGCAUCUGUCUGCGUCAGUGUGUGUAUGUGUCAGUGUGUGUAUCUGUGUUAGUGUGUGUAUCAGUCUGUGAAUGUGUCUGUGUGUGUCAGUGUGUGUUUCUGUAUGUCAGUGUGUGUAUGUGUGUAUCAGUGUGUGUAUCUGUGUGCAUCAGUGUCAGUGUGUAUCUGUGUGCGUCAGUGUACGUAUCUGUGUGUAUCUGAGUGUGUGUAUUUGUCAGAAUAUAUCUAAGGGUGUGUAUGUUUCAAAGUGUAACUGUGUGUGUGUCAAUGAGUAUAUGUAUAUGUGUAUGUAUGUGGCAGUUUUUGUGCAUACAAACCAGCAAUCAAAUGCAUCUGUCUGCGUCAAUGUGUGUAUGUGUCAGUGUGUGUAUCUGUGUUAGUGUGUGUAUCAGUCUGUGAAUGUGUAUGUGUGUGUGUGUCAGUGUGUGUUUCUGUAUGUCUGUGUGUGUGUGUCAGUGUGUGUAUCUGUGUGCAUCAGUGUCAGUGUGUAUCUGUGUGCAUCAGUGUAUGUAUCUGUGUGUGUUUGUCACUGUGUAUAUUUAUGUGUUAUUGUAUGUAUAUGUGUCUAUCUGAGUGCGUGUAUUUGUCAGAAUGUAUCUAAGGGUGUGUAUGUUUCAAAGUGUAACUGUGUGUGUGUCAAUGAGUAUAUGUAUAUGUGUAUGUAUGUGGCAGUUUUUGUUCAUACAAACCAGCAAUCAAAUGCAUCUGUCUGCGUCAGUGUGUGUAUGUGUCAGUGUGUGUAUCUGUGUUAGUGUGUGUAUCAGUCUGUGAAUGUGUAUGUGUGUCAGUGUGUGUUUCUGUAUGUCUGUGUGUGUGUCAGUGUGUGUAUCUGUGUGCAUCAGUGUCAGUGUGUAUCUGUGUGUGUCAGUGUAUGUAUCUGUGUGUGUUUGUCAGUGUGUAUAUCUAUGUGUUAUUGUAUGUAUAUGUGUUUAUCUGAGUGUGUGUAUUUGUCAGAAUGUAUCUAAGGGUGUGUAUGUUUCAAAGUGUAACUGUGUGUGUGUCAAUGAGUAUAAGUAUAUGUGUAUGUAUGUGGCAGUUUUUGUGCAUACAAACCAGCAAUCAAAUGAUAAACAUUACAUGCAAACACACCCUUGCAAUCAAAAGCACACAUUACAUACAAAUGUACACACAUUUAAAAGACAUCAAUGCAUACAAACACACCCCAGCGAUCAAAUGCGAACAUUACAUACAAACAUAACUCUGAUUAAAAUGCCAACACCCCAUCCCACCAACUCUAAACACAAACGUACACCUGCAUUUGAGAGCCAACACUAUCAAAAUCAAAAAAUCAAAUGUAAACCUUACAUAAAAGUACACCACUGCAUUCCCAGGCACCGGUACAUACGAAUACACCCCUACACAAACACACACUUAAUCCAUACAAAAACAUGCUUACAUUCAAAUGCACAAACUCACAGAUACAACCCUGCAAGGAUGGGCAAGUGGUUCGACAGAUGAGGAGUAGCGAAAUAUGUGUGAUAUCGUCCUGUGUGAUUUCCUCUGAACUAAGACUUUAACCUGAGUAAUAGGAAGAUUGCUACAUAGUUUGAAUAUUAUUCCCCAUACAAUGAGAAACAUUGUGGUGGGACUGCAGCAAUAACAUUGUGUUGGCUUAUGGAAUUAAUAAAUGUUUAUUUCUAUUUAAUAGGACACUAUGGUUUUCUAAUUGUACUUUAAAUAUGCAACCAAGAGAGAGACAUCUAUAUAUAGGCAUAGGUGGUUAGCAGACUAGCAAAGAAAUGCUUAAACACAUGCAUAUGUUCCCUUGUUCUGUUCCCCUUUCGGGUGUUUGCAGAUAUGUAUUGACACCGUAGAAUCCUGUGAUGAUGCAUCAGUUAUGUAGGUAUAUCACAAAAUGGAUUCCAGGCAGCAACCUGAUUCACACAUGAAAUAAUUCAAUAUUUACUUAUACGUGCUUUUUUUUGUUUGUUUUUAGAAAAUCAAAAAUCACAGUUAUAGCAAUUCUAAAACCGCGAUUAUUUGCUCACUAACUGUAAAUAUCUUUAUAUAUAAUAGUUAUCUGCACACCUAAUGGCUGACCGAGUGAUGACAUAGAAAAUUGAUUUUGAGCAUUUGAGGCAUUAGUUAAAUAUCUGGUCAUGGACUAUUGUUAUACAAUCAAAUAGAAAAUAAUCUGUAUGUACAUGAAUAUAGUUAUAUAAGAGUUAAACUUUAUAGCACUUUAUAAGCAAAUAUCCUCUCAAGCACACAUAAACUGGCACAGUCUACAUAAUUUACUGCACAUCCCCACUGAGCCAUAAAAUCUGAGAAAAAUUAUUAUUGUUUAUGAGUAAAAUAUGAAAAUAUCAUGCCUCUCAAAUGUCCCUUUUUUCAGCAGGACAGUCACGAUUUUGGGGUGCUGUCCUGCAUCUGGGGAUACCAAGAAACUGGCAGCACAGCACGAACGCAUCAAUGGACGCAUUGACGCUGUGCAAUGGACACUAGGACAAUGCAGGGAGCUCUUUAGCAACGCUAACUGCAUGGUCCUGAUAGAUGUGUGCCAGCCAAGCUGCCCCCUUUUUUCUUGCUGAUGCAACCCUCUUCUUGGAAGAGACUGCUCCUUUCUGAACAUCCCCACCCAUUGUGGGCAAUGACACCCUUCAGGAUUCUGCCCACACUUCCUGACUUCCUAAAGGCAGACAUUGGGAGGUAUGAUAUGGAGUCACAAUCAUGUUAAUUUAGAGGCCUAUGGCUGAGGUAGUAGAAAUGUUAAAGAAGCAAAUAAGAUAAAGCAGCAAUUACCCUUUUUGGGUGAUGUCCAUGCUUGGCACAUGUUGUAUUGUUAAAGUCUGAAAUAUAUAUAUGCCAGUUUAGUGGUCACUUUACAGACAAUGUUAUGGAGAAAGCUACUUAGUAUAGCAUCUGCUAGCAAAACAGAGAAUCCCUAGUAAUGUACAGUAACUACAGAUUGCUAGUACUGGAUAACACAGAAAUCACUGCUUCCAGUAAAAAAAAAAAAAUAUAUAAAAAAAUGUAUAAUUCAAAUUUAUCUUAAACUGAGAUGUGCUCUAAUUUGCAUACAUGAUUAAAUAAAUAAGGAAGAGAAAACUAGUUUUAAACAAUAUGUGAGGAUGUAUCAUAUAAUGAGGUAACUGUUAAAAACAGUCAUUUUGAGUACCGUAACAACAUUUUUUUUAUUUUUUUUUUAGCCAAAUAGGGCCACUGGGGAUAAAUGCUGAGUAUGU